rnacentral:lncRNA from 10 species
AGGUAAGUGCUGAUGCUGCUGCUUUGAGGGCCACACACCUUGAGGAGUAGGAAGAGUACUCAUACUGGAAGAGUAUUCAGCACGGACUGGAAUCCUGCAUACAUAUCUGAGCUCUGUGUUCUGUAGAGAUGGGGUUUCACCAUGUUGCCCAGGCUGGUCUCAAACUCCUGAGCUCAGGCCAUCUGCCCGCCUCGGCCUCCCAAAGUGCUAGGAUUACAGAAGGUGCCUGCUUCCCCUUCACCUUCCACCAUGAUUGUAAGUUUCCUGAGGCCUCCCCAGACAUGUGGAACUGUGAGUCAAUUAAAUCUCUUUUCUUUAUAAAUUACCCAGUCUCAGGUAGUAUCUUUAUAGCGGUAUAAAAACAGACUAAUACAAACAGGUAGCUCUAAAUUGUGAGUUUUUCUUAACUCCUUUGAUCUUCUGUGAUAGCGAUUUUUCACAUUUCACACUUCCCUAAUGCCAAAAAUCCACCUCCAGCAGCUGUUUUGCCUCUUUCUUAUCCUGCCCCUUGGAAGAAUGUCAUCAUUA